AUUUGCAAUUGUGGAAUCAGGUAACAUUUCACCUUAGAAAAUGAAGUGGGCAUUCCAGUGCGCCAAGAGAGGCACCUGGUUUUGCAAACAGAAAACUAUGGAAAGAAGCAGAAAUUAAGACCAACAACUUCAGAGUAUCAGAAAGACAGAAGCCACUGUCUGCUCCACAUCAGGUUAGUUUCAGAUUCCUUUGUUGGUAAAGUAAGAAGCCAGAUCUCAAAUCAGGACUUUCAAAGUCAAAGACCUCAGCAGUGAAAAAUCAUGUGAUAGUGACUGUUAUUCCAGCAUAAAAGCAAUCCUCUGCCUCAUUAUUGAUGCUGACGUCAUCGGACCUUCAUCACGCAGCUUGAGUGGCUUGGGCCGGAAGAACCAGAUCUUUCCUUGGUAGAUUAAAAGGCGGCAUGGAAGAUGGAAGCCUGCC
rnacentral:lncRNA from 1 species